rnacentral:lncRNA from 1 species
ACAUUGCACUGAACAAAAAAACUUAUAACAGGAAGAACUGUACUGCAUUUCAAUGCUAAUAAAUAGACCAGGAACCACAUACACUAAUAGAAGGUCACGGGAU